rnacentral:rRNA from 1 species
UACAGAGGCUCCAAGCGUUAGGCGGAAUCACUGGGCUUAAAGCGUGCGUAGGCGGCUUCUCAAGUGCUUUGUGAAAGCCCUCGGCUCAACCGAGGAAUUGCUUGGCAUACUGGGAAGCUUGAAUCAUCUAGGGGCAACUGGAACUGACGGUGGAGCGGUGAAAUGCGUAGAUAUCGUCAGGAACGCCAACGGCGAAAGCAGGUUGCUGGGGAUGCAUUGACGCUGAGGCACGAAAGCCAGGGGAGCAAACGGG